CUUGGUCAUUUAGAGGAAGUAAAAGUCGUAACAAGGUUUCCGUAGGUGAACCUGCGGAAGGAUCAUUAGUGAAUUGAAUAUGUUAGCGGACCUCUUCGGAGUCCCUAGCAUCAAAUCAUAUCCAUAGCACCUGUGAACUGUAAGGCUGUCUUGAAAACGAAAGUGAUUAGAGCGCCUGCCCAUUUUAUACAAACAUUAAAGUAACAAACGUAGUCUUAUUAUAAUCUAAUAAAACUUUCAACAACGGAUCUCUUGGCUCUCGCAUCGAUGAAGAACGCAGCGAAAUGCGAUAAGUAAUGUGAAUUGCAGAAUUCAGUGAAUCAUCGAAUCUUUGAACGCACCUUGCGCUCUUUGGUAUUCCGAAGAGCAUGCCUGUUUGAGUGUCAUGAAAAUAUCAACCUUGACUUGGGUUUAGUGCUCUUGUCUUGGCUUGGAUUUGGCUGUUUGCCGCUCGAAAGAGUCGGCUCAGCUUAAAAGUAUUAGCUGGAUCUGUCUUUGAGACUUGGUUUGACUUGGCGUAAUAAGUUAUUUCGCUGAGGACAAUCUUCGGAUUGGCCGAGUUUCUGGGACGUUUGUCCGCUUUCUAAUACAAGUUCUAGCUUGCUAGGCAUGACUUUUUUAUUAUCUGGCCUCAAAUCAGGUAGGACUACCCGCUGAACUUAAGCAUAUCAAUAAGCGGAGGAAAAGAAACUAACAAGGAUUCCCCUAGUAACGGCGAGUGAAGCGGAAGAGCUCAAUUUGAAAUCUGGCAGCCUCAGGUUGUCCGAGUUGUAAUCUAUAGAGGCGUUUUCCGUGUCGGACUGUGUCCAAGUCCCUUGGAACAGGGUAUCAAAGAGGGUGACAAUCCCGUACUUGACACAACCACCGGUGCUAUGUGAUACGCUUUCUACGAGUCGAGUUGUUUGGGAAU
rnacentral:sRNA from 1 species